rnacentral:lncRNA from 1 species
UAAUCAGCCUUUUUUUUUUUUUUGUAAUAAUGACAAUUACAACAAUACUGAAUGAACACUUAUUUUAACUUAAUAUAAUACAUAAAUAAAAUCAAUUUAGCCUCAAAUAAAUAAUGAAACAUGUUCAAUUUGGUUUAAAUAAUGCAAAAACAAAGUGUUGGAGAAGAAAGUAAAAGUGCAAUAUGUGCCAUGUAAGAAAGCUAAUGUUUAAGUGCCUUGCUCAGAACAUGGGAACAUAUGAAAGCUGGUGGUUCCUUUUCACAUGAGUCUUCAAUAUUCCCAGGUGGAACUGGGUGUUAAACUCCAGGCGAACAUUAUCACUCGACUGAGCAAAGAACCAUCAAAGUGCAUUUCUGAGCUCAUGACAGCUCUAUUUCCCAGAGACGUGAUGGCCGUCUCUUGACAGAAAAAAAACUGAAUGCAUUCCGGGACCCGGAGGCAAAGAAACAGCUGUGCCCAACCAAAGUGUGCCAUUUGCACCUUUUUAAUUUGGCGAAACCUGAUGGAGGAGAAGGAUGUCUUAAAAAUUAUUUGAUCGAAGCUUAACAAUGAGCCAGAAUUGCUUAAGAAGUCCAAGAUUUAGGUUUAAAACUGCUUUUUUUUUACUCAAAGGGAGUAACUUGGAGGCUAAGGCCUAACUAUUUGGUUUGUUAACUCAGUGAAAAAGUAUUCAAGUUGAUCAUUUUUCAAAUAUGAUGUCCUCGUAUCUGUCAACUUCUUAACGUACACAGAACAUUUUUUUUUUCAAAAGUGUACUGUAGUUAUUGCUAUAGUAUAAGAAGAUGUUAUAGUAUUCCUUUAAGGUUACCAUAGUUAUUCUAUAUUAUGUCCGAAUUUACCAAAAGAAUACUAUAGAAGUUUUUCUGUGAUAUUUACAUAAUAUUGUUCUAUACUAAUCUUAUAGGAUCACAGUAAUAUUGCUAUAGUUAUUGCUAUAUUUUACUAUAAGAUUACUAUGGUUAUUCUAUAGUAUGUCUGAAUUUACCACAAGAAUACUGUAUGUUUUUUAGUGACAUUUGUAUAAUACUCUUUUAUAGUAAUCCUAUAGUGCUUUUUUGUAAGGGAUAGUCCAUGCCCGAUGAAUUGAGGUUGUUUAGAGGGCAAAGGGGGUCAAACUCAUGAGGUAUUCCUAAUGUUUUGUAAACUGAAUGUGUAUUUUCGUCUCCAAUGUUCAUAGGCAAAUUAUUACAUUUGUACAAUGAGCACUUCUCUCAAAUAUGUCAUUAGUUGUUAGUUAGCAAGCCAGCUAGCUAAUUUUUGCCAUAUUAGCAUUGACAUGAAAUCAGUCAGAACACCUCAAAACAAAUAUCAAGAACAAGAC